rnacentral:rRNA from 1 species
GACGAACGCUGGCGGCGUGCUUAACACAUGCAAGUCGAACGGAAAGGCCCUGCUUUUGUGGGGUGCUCGAGUGGCGAACGGGUGAGUAACACGUGAGUAACCUGCCCUUGACUUUGGGAUAACUUCAGGAAACUGGGGCUAAUACCGGAUAGGAGCUCCUGCUGCAUGGUGGGGGUUGGAAAGUUUCGGCGGUUGGGGAUGGACUCGCGGCUUAUCAGCUUGUUGGUGGGGUAGUGGCUUACCAAGGCUUUGACGGGUAGCCGGCCUGAGAGGGUGACCGGCCACCUUGGGACUGAGGUACGGCCCAGACUCCUACGGGAGGCAGCAGUGGGGAAUAUUGCACAAUGGGCGGAAGCCUGAUGCAGCAACGCCGCGUGCGGGAUGACGGCCUUCGGGUUGUAAACCGCUUUCGCCUGUGACGAAGCGUUAGUGACGGUAAUGGGUAAAGAAGCACCGGCUAACUACGUG